rnacentral:lncRNA from 1 species
CCCCGGACUCCUCCCUGCCCUCUCCGGCUUCCCUGCCUCACAGGCUCCUCGCGUUCCCAGAGGGCUCCUUCCUGGGCCUGCCUGUGCCCCCCUUCUCCCGGCUCUCCUGUCCCCGGCCAGCUGCCGCAGAAAAUUUUCUGGAACUUGAGAAUCAUGGUAACACAGAAGUGGAGUGGCAUCCGUCAGUCAUCUCUAGCUCCACCUUAUGUCAAGGGUCUUUGAGGAGAAGGCAGUCCUUCCGCAUCAUGAGCUCCAUCCUAAAGAUGACUGUAGCCAGAGAGGAGAGGCUGCCGAUGGAGAGAGGAAUCAGUGGGAGGUCUUGUUUUUUGGUGUUGGAAGGCAACGUUAGGUGGAAUUUGCAGAGUCCAUGGUAUUACAGUGCCCAGUGGUUCCAGGUCUCCAUCACAUUUUUGCCCAGAGAUAGAGGAGAUUGUGCUCAGUUUUGGGGUAUUGAGUGUCACCCCCUUAAGGAGCCUCACAGGAAACAUAUCUCUGAGAUUUCAACUGUCUGGGCAAUGUCAAAGCAGAAAAUGAGCCUGAAAGUUCAAAAAUUUCCACAAACCUCCUCAUUAAACUGGACAAUUUAGUUAAGCCCCGAAGACAAGGUGUAUCAGACACUGCUCUCAUACCCAGGCGGUGAGCGUGCAAUGGAAGGGCUCAGCGAGGAGGGUGGCUGUGACUGCCUGCCACCUGGCCCUCCACAUCCUGUGCUCUUGGACCGCCGCCUCAAGGGGGCAAGUUUACAGUGCCCUCGACUAGGAUCUGCCCCUUCGGAAGGGUCAUGUUCCGUUUUGGUUUUGCCCAUUUGUUUGUUUUCUGGGGGGUGGCUGGGAGAGGGGCAAAAGUGGGGCUUCUGGAGAGCUUGCCUAAUUCAACGUGGGACAGUCAGGCUGUGACUGCUACUCCCCAGCUGUGUGAAGCAGGUGCACCUAUGAGGAGUGUGCCGAUGCGCCUUGCUUUGUGUCAGCCCACCUGUUGUCCACACACACACACACACACACACACACGCACGCACAUGCACACACACCCUGACCACCCUCCCAGGGCAGAAUGAAGACUCGCCUACCUCUGAGACAGUGUGCUCUGAUUGUGCACCCAGCUGGGCCAUAGGAAAUGGUGACAGAUUCUUGCCCAGUGCCUGGCUCUAUGCAGGUGUCACCUCAGGUGUCCAGUAGAGAAGGUGAAGGGAGGUGUUCAGUCUCAAGUUUCACAGGUGGAAACGGCAGCACAGACAGGCAGGCACCACACACAGCACUGGAGAGCACCAGAUCAAGAGACCAGAAUGCCCGGUGGCAGCGAGGCUUACCUUGUAGAUCACCUCAUAAUGUACAAACACAUCAAGUCACUACUACGUGCACCUGAAUCUCAUAGGCUGUUUUAUGGCAGUUGUACUUUGUACUUCAAUUAAAGACAAGUCGCAGACACAAGACAGAGAGAGGACACCGACCCAGCACAGCAGCCCAAGGCACCUCGUUUGGGUCCUGAUUCAAAUGAACCACCUGGAAAAAGACACUUGGAGGCAAGUGAAAUUGGCAAAUGGACAAGAGGUUGGAUAUUAUGGAAUAUGGUUGACUUCGUUGGGUGUCAUAAUAUUUUUUACAAUCUCCUUAUGUCAGAGCCACGUGCUGAAACAUUCACGGAUCAAAAUGGGAUGUUGUCUGGGAUUACCUUAGCUUCUUUCGAAACGCAAAAGACAAAAGCUGGGAGGGAGAGACUAUAUGAAGGAACACCCGAAGAACCUUAAUAAUUAAGAAGACGAGUGAUGGAUAUGUAGGGGCUCAUAUCCUCUAUUCCUUCUAUCUUUAUGUUUAAAAAUAUGUAUAAUAAAAAAUGUUAUGGUUGAAGAGUAAGUCA